UCAAGCCGUUGAGAGGCAAGUGGCUCUUAUGUCAACCUGUGGUAAGAAGGUGGUAGGGGAGGAUAGGAAGUCUGGGCAACAAAUUGCUGUCGCAGAGCACAGACAGCAAACGAAAAAGCAGAAGAAGUGAAGAAAAGAUUCCCGCAAGCAAGCAUGUUCCUUCGUUCUGCUCUGAUCUUUACUCUGUUACUAACUGAUGAUGGACUUUGAUACGAUUCGUUGAUAUGAUUUUUUGACGUAUUGUAUACAGCUUGCACUUAACCAUAUGGUUCAGACAAAAGGACAAUUAAACUGGUGUUUUGUUUUUAACGGGUGAUACUCGUAAAAUAUUACCUUCGACAAGUUUAACUCGGCGCACGUCCUGGCAGGUUAUAAACCUACAA